rnacentral:rRNA from 1 species
UACGUAGGGUGCAAGCGUUUAAUCGGAAUUACUGGGCGUAAAGCGUGCGCAGGCGGUGAUGUAAGACAGUUGUGAAAUCCCCGGGCUCAACCUGGGAAUUGCGUUGGAGACUGCAAGGCUGGAGUCUGGCAGAGGGGGGUAGAAUUCCACGUGUAGCAGUGAAAUGCGUAGAGAUGUGGAGGAACACCGAUGGCGAAGGCAGCCCCCCUGGGUCAAGACUGACGCUCAUGCACGAAAGCGUGGGGAGCAAACAGG